rnacentral:lncRNA from 1 species
AUUAUUUUUGAAUCUUCUUCCCACACCAUAUCUUUGUUCCACAACAUUUAUCACGGGAAGUGGAAAACCUCCAUGUACCAAGGGCUCUCUUUAACUGGAAUGGGAACAGACAGAACGUUGAGUCCAUGGAGGAUCAGAGGAGAUCCUUCACCUGUGAAACUUUGCUCUGUCAUCUUAAAUUGCUUUGUAGGUCAGCAAUUUAAAACUGAAGAUAUAUGUGCUUGGAUUCAUGUCUGUUGGAGGCUGAGGUCGACAAAGGUUGUUGCUGACAUCCCUAUACUAUACACAUUGUGUGGGGGAUGUGAGAGUUACAUCUGAGCACCCAAUGGAACGAUGGAAACAGCUACCUGAAGCAUCAUCACAGAGAGACAUUGCAGAGCAGGAUGGUACAGUACUGAUGAUACGCUGUUUUCCUAUUUGUUCUAUAAUUUUUAAAACGAAACUAUGGGUCUCAGGAAUUGAUUUAAGAGUUCCAGCCUACUUCUUGCAUAACCUCUCCUUCCAUCUAAGCAAGUAACUUCUCAGAAACAUAAGCCUGAAUCAUCCUCAUUCUUAGCAUAGAGUAGAUUCAGCAAAAUGUGAUUCCUGAUGUUGGUUGUUCCAGACCACCCUGCAGGAACCUGGGAACCUGGGAUUCCAGCACUCUGAGGGACAGAUCAUGGCUUAAGCAUCUCCACAUCUAAGUCUUGGUAAUCUGUCCUCACAUCUUCAAAUACCACUUUGAAGUAAACCCCAGCCCAGGAGCCGAGCAUUAAUCUUAAGUCCACUCCAGGACUGAAAAGACCCUGAGCCAAAAAGAAAGAAAGAGGAUAAUUUUAUGUUCUCACACUGUGGACACAGAUAGCUUUGGUCCUUUCCAUGGUCUGGGCCAUGCUUGUGUUCUUCCUGGAUACUCUUCAAAGCUGAGUGUGUUUGCAGAGGAUGCUCCUGGAUUUCACCCCAGCUGGCAGCAGGGCAACCAUGAGCCACUGGUUCCAUCUUUGUGCAAGAGAAAUUUAUGCUCUCAGUGAAAUUACAGCCUGAGCAAGAGUUGG